UACAACUAGUUUAAACAUCUACAAUAUGUUUAAAAAAAUUACUACCCAAUAAUUACAAGCUUAGAAACACAAUGAUGUAGGACAAUUACAAAAAACCGUUAAUGAUUCCGUCCUUGUUUAUAUUUUUCUCUCCUUGCUGCCUAUUUGCACCAUUAAGUUCUUAGAUUUUUUAUUCGUGUCUUUAGAAAAAGAAUGUCUCAUUUGUUCUGUUAUCCGAUGCAGAGCACAAUUCCUGCGAGGCACUAUAGUUAUCAGUUGAAUAUUUUGGUUUUUAGUUUUGACUCUUUUUUGACUUUAAGAAAGUAUAAGACUCACAGUCAUUGCAUCUACAUCUAUCUUAACGAACAUAAGUGACAGAAACUUACUAUGAAAAUAAAUAGAACAUGGGACUAAUUAAUUUUAUUGGGCCACACAGACAAACUUCUAUUAUUCGCCAUUACCUAUCCAUCAAAAUUGAAGAUCGAGAUAAAUAAAGAAAUAAAGAAAAUUAGAAUUUGUAAAUAAAGGGAAAAUAUACAUUGAAUAGUAACCUUCUUAACUAAGGAUUCUGCGAGAGAUGUCUGUCCAAUGUCAUCUUGAAAAUUGACGCCAAACCAUCCAAUCCAUUUAGCAUCGUGUUAAAUUACACCUGCCAGGUUAGAAUUUGUAGUGGAUUACAUAAUAACAGAAAUAUAAACAUGAGAAAUAGUAAUGAAAUAAUAAAUUCUCAUUUCCAACCGGACCAUUCAUUAAGGCCCCAGCACUUACAUCCAUAGACCUAGAAUCAUCUUAUUUCCAUUGAUCAGUGAGUGAUGACCUAUUCUCGACAAACAGAGGUUGCAUCAUUGGUUGUUAUUAACAUUAAACAUAGGCAUAAUCUUGGAUGGUUUAGAGCAACCAAACACAUUGAUCUAUAUUCUUAAAUACGAACGAGAACAAUGAAACCCUAAGCGUGCCGAAAGCCACUUGAUUGUAUCUACCAUCUCUCCAGGUACUGUGUACAGUCCUAGUCUGUAGUUCCAUUGAGAUAUACUUAAUUGCCAUUGUAUGGUUUGAAUGUGAUAUUUCCGAAUGAAGUUUAGUGCAAAAAUUUUGACCUUUUUCACCAUCAUUGUAGACAUCCACAUCAUCACCUAUAAGAUUAAAAAACAUGGAGUUCGAAUAAAUAAGAUCAAAAAAAACAAAAAGACAUUUUAUUAAGACCGAUUUAGUGAUAAAGCAAGAGUGGAAGAACAAUAAAUCAGCCGAGUUUUAAAAUUACUUGUAUAUAUGCUGUAAUAUGUAGUCAUGGAGAGACAUAUGUAUGGGAUUCCUCCAAGCAUUAAUACUGGCCUAGUAGGUGUUGUUUGAGAUAUCCAAUGUAUCUGCGUUGGGAGUUUAGCGUUAGAAUUAUUUUAAAACAUACAUAUUUCUGAGCAUAUGGUUGGAGUGCUCACAUUUUGAAUAGGAUGAGUUUCUAGAGGUUAUGAAUAGCUGUGUAGUAAAAGUCGUAUAAUAAAAUACAAUCAGAUCGAGAGUAAAAUACAGGUCAUGUUUAUCGAGCACAGUGAAGAUGGAAUUGAAAAACACGUUAGUACUCAGCCACCAAAUUUGUGAGACCCAAGGAAUCAAGAUUUAGGCAUAAUUUGAACUCUGAAGCCUAUAUUUCAUAGUUCAAUCAAACAGCAAUAAGGAAAUAUGAAUGAAAGACUCUAGGAAGGAAAGAACACCGACAUAGCUGGAACCAUGAUCACCUAAGCCAGGAAGCCUACAUUGUUUAACACUUCUUCUAACUCUAUAACCAGUGGCCGUAGAAGUUCUUAGAUAGCGCAUCUCAACAAGAACACACUAAGAUUGAAAAAUUUAUUGAUUUUUGAAUGGAGAAGUAUUCAGACAAUUGAUUGAAACUCUGUGUAUAUAUAUAAAGAAGGUUAAGAACUAAGCACUUGGUAGUAAUAUCUAUAGCUAAAAUAGUCAGUACUCAUUUAAGCUCUCUUAGAGCUCACUAAGCCAAAGAGUGUUUCCUGAAAAAUGGAAGCGUUUUUUUCUCUUUUUUGAACUAUAAUACUAUUUCUAUCGAGCCUAACUAGUCGAGCUCGACCUCGACAAUGCAAGCCAAGGCUUGUUUAGCUUAAUGAGCCUAGAUCCUAGGCUCGAGCUUAAAGAGUCGAGCCCGAGGUCAAGCCAUAGCCGAGCUUAAAGCCUAAACUUGACACUCUACAUGAAACAAUGAAAUACAUACAAUAUCCUCUCCCUGUGGUGAGGAGUGGAAUUCCACAUCCUUAUUUCACAUAUGAACAAUAUGCAAACACAAAUUUUAAGAAAAGGACCAAUUACUAUUACUGACUUUUAGCCGCUAGUUCACUAAUGGAUUAUUGUAUUUAAUUCCCAGGAAGAGAAUACAUGUUCCCCAUACUAGGUUUGGUCGAAAAAACAGUAUUAGAUUUUCCCAAUCUAGAUCGAAUAACUAGUUGGCAUCUGUCAAAGAUUCCUCCUAAAUUAGAGAACAUUAGGGGCCUCUUACAAAAUGAUAGACUCAAGUAUUUGGGGCCAACUACUUGAGUAUAAAUGCACAAUUAAGGGAGCAUGCUAAUUUAACAAUAUUUUCAGAAUCAAUCAUAGAUAAUCCAACAUAGUACUCUCUACCCGACAUUGGUACCCUUUAUUCUCUCUGGUGUAAUCCUGAAUAACAAUUAAUUUUCCAGAUUGAUUAAAUGAUUAUUAACCCUCGUUUGAUUGAUGCUUAACGAUUCCUAAUCAGCCACUACUUCUUAAUACAUUGGUAUCUGGUUACUGCUAUACUACUUUCUUAAUAAAUUGGAAUAUCAUUUAAGCCUCAAUUGUAUAUUUGAACUUUCCCCAUAUAUUGUUUAACACGUCUUCUAACUCUAGAAGCAGAGGCCGGAGAAGUGCUUAGGUAGCUCAUCUCAACAAGAACACACUUAAAUUGAAAAAUCUAUUGUCCUUUGAAUGGAGAAGUAUUCAGACAAUUUAUGGAACCUCUUUGUAUAUAUAUAAAGCAGUUGAAGAACUCAACACUUGGUAAUAAUAUAUAUGAAUGAUAUCCAACACAUCAUUGUUUCCCAUGGUACACGAUACAGACAAGUAAUUAAUAUUAAGGUGAUUUUGGUGAUUUAUAAUACUACACCACCCAAGUGUAUACAUAUAUAUCAGAAUAAAUCAAAUCAAACUAGCAUAUUGACAUGUACAAUAAAAAUAAUUAUUUCACCAUAUAUAUUCAGAAGAAGAUCCACCCACCUCAAUGUCUUCAACUGAUUUUGAGUUUGGUCAUAUAAACUAACUAAGCUGUCGUUUCUUAGAAACAGUGUUUGUGUUACCCUAUAUGUAUAUACAAACAAAACAUGAAUUACAAAUAUUUCAAUCUAGAAAUUCAAUGAAUCGAUAUGUUUAUUUGAUUUUAAAUUAAUAUAAGAUUUGUCUUAUAAUUUUUCAAAAUUAAUAUCUCACAUCAAUUAGUUUCCUAUAUAUAGAGAAAGAACUAUUUACGGUAUUAUAUGUACCUUUGAUUCCUUCGAUGCAUCAUGGCUGUCUUUAUUGGUAGUAAUUCUGUACGAUGCUGCCACGUUUGGUAUACUCCUGUUAUCAUGUAUUUCAUCUGAACGACAAUAAACAACAUCCGAUAUAUUAUAUUCAGCUAUGUAAUUCUAUUUAUUUUUUACUUAAAUAACGUUUGGUAUAGUUUUGGAUGAUUUUGGAGCAUAGCAGAUUUUCUACCUGGGGGGUGUAAAGCAUUUGGUUUGAAUGCUCACAUUUGUUUUAAAUUUACCUCUUUCUAAUAAAUGCAAAGAAAUUAACAACUAGUUAUUCAUACAUAUCUGCCUAGGAUAAUUUAUAAUCAAAGUUCGAGACGAAUAAAUUGGCGGCAAAUCUCUUUUCCUUCGCUACCAGAUCUAUGUAUCAGUUAUGGUAAUCUACCGCGCAGCUCCGAGCGUUAUGUCCUUGUUGUUGGCAUUUUUUGCAACAUCUUGGCUUUUUUACUUUAAUUUCUCUAGUUGACUUGAACCUCGGGUCUGCCUUGCUCGGGCGACCCGUAUUUUUCCCGCUUCCUUUUGUCUUCGCUACCUUAGGAUUCCCUAUUAGAGGAAUGCAAGUAAUCUUAUCUUCAAAUAUGGUAAUAGAUCUUGAAACCGAUUGCCUAUUAGCGGUGGAGUGUAGCCCUUCAAAUUCUUGCAGGAUUCCAUUCAUUCUUGAAAUUAUUUCAUCUUCUAUCUUUGCAUUGUUUGCAAUCAAUCUUGCGCAUCUAUUGAAAAUCGAUGUAAGAGCGUUACCUACGGGUUUUUUAAUCCCUUCUUCUCUUGUUUGUGAUUUGUUUUCUGUCUUUUUCCAACGAUCGCAAAUCAGAUCAUUUGGUAAUGAAGUCCUUCCAGUUGAUGUUAGAAAACAAAUAAUAUGGCGGCACGGAAUUGCUUUGCUUGAGAAUAGAUGAUAGCUACAUGAUGGUGUAUCAUCCAAAUCCUUGCAUGUUAUUUUAGCUGACUGAAUUUGGGUGUAUAUCCCUACUACAAUGUGAAUAUUGGGUUCAUGUGAAAGUAGAUAUAGAAAUAUUAUAAAAAAACCAUAUUAUGAAAUGUAUUCGAAUUUAAUGACCAUUCCUUACAUUUGGAAGUCCUCGAAUAUAAUAGCAUACACUUUUCUGGACUUGUUGCUGGUAUAGUAAAAAAAACCUCUGUAGUGUAGAUGGAGAGCAAACAUUUUUCGAUUUGUAGUUGUGUAAUUAGUAAUGGUGGUGCGUCCCUGUCUCUGUGGUUCAGUUCUUCGAGUUUGUUGCGUUGUGCGUUUAACACUACUUUUAGGGAGCAAACAAAUUCGAAUAAUGUUGAUGAUCGUUUGACGUUUAACUUCACUAGGGAAUUCAUCCCCUCACUUCGUUGGGUACUCUGCAUCCCACCGAAGAAGUGAUUAGUCAUGUAAAUUGGACACCAGCUUUCUCGGAUGGUAUACAUAUCUUUCAACCACUUGUUUUCUGUUAGUUUAUUGUCGGUGGCCCAAGAAGCCCAAUUUUUCUCAAAUUCAUUGAUAUUCUCAGAUGUAUUCAGGAUCUUGUUGAACCGUUCCAUCUCGUCCUUAUUCCUGUAGACUAUGCCAACCUUAUCACACAUCUUGUGGGUGAUGUGCCACUUGCACAGUCGAUGAAAUGUUGUUGGGAAUUCACGUGAUAUAGCAGUUUUCAUUGCUGCGUCUUGGUCAGUUAUUAUUGUUUUAGGGUAAUUACCCAUGCAUUUCUUGAAUUCUGAGAACAACCAUAUGAAGGAUUCCGUAGACUCGUUCGAGAGAAAUCCAUUAGCGAAGAGUACCGUUCGCAGGUGAUUGUUUAGCCCACAGAAAAUUCCAAUAAUUAGCUUAUACUUGUUUGUGUUAUACGUCGUAUCGAACGUUAUAGCCUCUCCGUAUUGUUUAUAUUCUUCAAUACAUGUAGGGUCAGCCCAAAACAACUGCUUCAAAGAUCCUAUGAAUAGAAAGAGCAUAUUACUACUGUUUAAAUUAUAUACAAAGUUUCAUAUAAAAUUGUUUUUUACCUUCCUCGUCGAGUUCGUACGAGUAGUAGUAAUCGUCGUCAUGAUCCUUAAGUGUUCGAAAUUUAUUGAUAAGAAUAUCUACGUCAUGACUAUUCAUGUUUUCCUUGUCGUCUCGUCGGUAAUUUGAGAAAUCUCGCUGGGUAAAGGAACAGCUAGAGAAGCCCCUCGAUUGCAUAGCGACGUAUGUAUAUUGUUGGCUUGGAGGAAUGUUUGAUUCAUCUAAACUUCUUAUCAAAUUUCGGGCAUACGGUGUUAUUUCCCUAUUUAUCUUAAGGAACCUUUUAUUUGAUGGCGCCGACAUAUCAUGGUUGUGAUCAUCGUUGACGUUACAUAUCAUCCAUUGUUCUCCGAUUUUCUUGAUAGAAAGAAGAGCUUUGCAUCCUGUUCUUGAAUUUCUUAUGUGUCUAGGUUUCGUAGAUAUGUUGGCUGGAUUUUCUACUACUGGCACCUUUGCCUUUGAUGUACCCUCCUUUGAACAAACGUAUGUCUUCUUACGGAGACCCUUUUUCGAAUGUCUAGUUGAGCCUUUUCGCACGCAGAAUCCUUUCUGCCCCGCGAAUGCGUAGUAGGUAUGUUCCACCUCUUCUAGUGAGUCGAAUGUCAUACCGACCUUUGGAAGAUUGAUAAAUCUGGAAAAGUAUGCACUUAUCAAUGUUAUAGUAAUAUGGACUAGAUGUGAUGUGUGUACCAAAUAGUUAUGGUUUGGCGUAGGUUACCUGAUGCUAUCCACAUCUGUACUAUACAUAUCUUCCCUUCCAUAUUGAUCAUCCCUAUUAGUUGGACUGAAAAAUCAAUACCAUACAUCUUCAAAUGAUGUGGGACACCCAUUGGCCUUUCAAAAACAUAUAAUUUAGUAAUCCAUUUCUAACAUAACUUAAAUUACCUUCCUUCUGUCAGUAAAUACGUUUUGUUGUUAUGACUAUCACCUACUUGUAGUUCUUCUGAUUCUGUGAACAAAGUUUCUUUUAGGGGAACCUGACUAGUUAAUUGUUCAUUUGAAUAAAAUCACUUAGGAUUGAAUUUUAAAUACCUCUCCUUUGAAAUUCAUUAUUCAGGCCUAGUGACUGUUUAGCAAAAGAGGAUGAAGGUUAUUAGAACCUAUCCAUGUAAUUUCUAUUUUGUUAAAAAGUUCUCAUAAAAUGUUUAGCGUAGUAUCCUACUCCUAUAGAAUCUUAUAUAAACAAGAGGAAUAACCUAAUAUGAAUCGAUUUUUUUUUCUUUGCAUAUAGUAAACCUAGAAAAGCGUAAGCAUCUUACACUGUAGUUGUCGUUCGUGGGAGCUUCCUCAAUCAUCCUGCACAGAAAAAAUUCCAUUAAGUUCGAUAGUGUGAUUAAAUUAGAAUAACCAUUACUGAUAUUAGUAAUUAGAAUAACCAUUCAAUAUUCAUACAUAAGUGUUUUACUUAUACUGUGCAAUAAUCGAGACAGAAGCAUUGCUGAUCAGGAGAAACUCAACCGGGCAAUUCAAGAACGUAUAAUGAAUUAGGUACAUAAGGACCUAUGAUAGAUUAUUAUUUUUGUGCAAAUAAUAAUAAAACUACCGGCCGAUUAAACCUAAAGUCUGCUCUGGAUAACAGUGAGCAAAACCAGUGCAUCCCACAGAUAGAUACUAUGCAUACUAACUUUAGUGUGCUCUUAUGAAAUCUUAUGAUAUUUUCAAAAUAAUUGAUAUAAAUCUAAAAAUACUCAUGUGUAUGACGACUUAUUAAACAGAAUCACAUAUGUAUUAAUACGAUGCCUAAUCAAAAGAUAUGACAAUAUAAUUAAUCAAAAAUGAAUACAAUUCGAAAUGACAUCCUUCAUACUUGGGCAGUGAUAUUUUGUAUAACGAAAAUGUAAAACCGCCGGACAUGAGUGGGUGAUACCAGCGAAGGUUAUAGCCAGAUUAUGUGGAUACUAAUGAAGAGUGAUUUAUCAUGAAAACGAAUAGUAGUUGGGAAAGUACCUUAACUUGUCGAUGGCGAUGAUCCAAAUUUUUAGACAUAUUUAAGUAGAAGUCACCUGAAAAUUAAAUACCAAAUAAUAACUGGUAGUAAUUACCCUCUUUACUAAGUUAUAUUAAAUUUCAUCUAUAAAAAUUAUGGACACUUUUUUAGAAUUCAUUAGGUUUCGUUGUUAUGACUAUCACCUACUUGUAGUUCUUCAGAUUCUGUGAACAAAGUAUCUUUGAGGGGAACCUGACUAGUUCACUGAUGAUAUGAAGAAAAUCAUUCAAAAAUGAAUUGUAAAUAACUCUCCUUUAUUUAGGACUAGUGACUGUUUAGCAAAAAAGGAUGAAGGUUAUUAGAACCUAUCUAUGUAUUUUCUAGUUUGUUCAAAAGUUCCCAUAAAAUGUUGAGCGUAAUAUCCUAAUCCUAUAGAUUGUUAUAUAAAGUAGACGCAGUUCCUAAUAUGAAUCGAUGUUUUUUUUUUUGCAUAUAGUAAACCUAGCAAAUCGUAAGCAUCUUACACUAGUUGUCGUUCGUGGGAGCUUCCUCAUUCAUCCUGCACAGAAAAAAUGCCAUCGAGUCCAAUAGUGGGAUAAAAGUAUCUUGUUUUUACUACAGAUAUUAGUAUUUAGAGUAACGAUUCAAUAUUCAUACAUUAGUGUUUACUUAUACUGUGCAAUGAUCGAGAAAGUAACAUUAUUUAACAGGAAAAAUCAAAAUCGAUCAAUUCAAGAACUUGUGAUAAAUUAGGGGCCCAAUGACCUGUAAUAGAUUAUUAUUUUUGUGCUAAUCAUAAUAAUACUGAUGCCCGAUUAAACCUAAAGUCUAAUUUGGAUAGCAGUGAGCUAAACUAGUGCAUCCCACAGAUAGAUUCCAUGCAUACUAACUACUAAUGUGUUGGUAUGAUAUCCUCUGAUAUUUUCAAAAUAAUCGAUUUAAAUAAAAAACUACUAAUGUGUAUGACGAAUUAUUAUACAGAAUUACAUUUCUAUUCGUACAAUGCCUAAUCAGAAAAUAUGACCAUAAAAUUAAUCAAAAAUGAAUACAAUUCGAAAUGACAUCCAUCAUACUUGGUCAGGCAUAUUUUGUAAAUCUAACAUGUAAAACCUCUUGUGGCAAAAUGCUUUGAACAGCUAAUAUGAAAUUAGUUAAAGUAAAUAGAUCCAUGAUUAAUACUAAUACCUUAAGGUGGAAAGGGCAAUAGUAAUUAUAACAAAGUCCUUUGUUUGAUUAGUUAUACCGUAUCGAAUUUCUUUUAGUUUCGCAAAAGCUUUUUAGAAUUCAGGUAACUAAAAUCCGCGGAUCUUCUCAACCAUAGGGGCAUAGGAAGUGUGGGAAUGUAAUGUAGAAAAUAAGGAUUUGGGUAUUUUUGGGCAAUACCUAGCUCAAUACACCACUGGACAUGAGUGGGUCAUACCAGCAAAGGUUAUAGCCAGAUUAUGUGGAUACUAAUGAAAAGUCAUUUAUGAAGAAAACGAAUAAUAGUAAGGAAAUUACCUUAACUUGUCGAUGGCGAUGAUCCAAAUUCUACGUAAUAAUUAUGUAGAAGUCACCUAAAAAAUAAAUAUCCAUUAAUAAAUGUUUUUAAGUACUGUUAGAAAAUACAAUCUUUACUAAGUAAUAAUAUAAUUCGUCUAUAAAAAUUAUGAACACUUUUUUAGAAUUCAUUACGUUUGGUUGUUAUGACUAUCACCUACAUGUAGUUCUUCAUAUUCUGUGAACUAAGUUUCUUCUAGGGGAACUUGACUAGUUAAUUGUUCAUUUGAAUAAAAUCACUUAGGAUUGAAUUUUAAAUACCUCUCCUUUGAAAUUCAUUAUUCAGGCCUAGUGACUGUUUAGCAAAAGAGGAUGAAGGUUAUUAGAACCUAUCCAUGUAAUUUCUAUUUUGUUAAAAAGUUCUCAUAAAAUGUUUAGCGUAGUAUCCUACUCCUAUAGAUUCUUAUAUAAACAAGAGGAAUAACCUAAUAUGAAUCGAUUUUUUUUUCUUUGCAUAUAGUAAACCUAAAAAAGCGUAAGCAUCUUAUACUGUAGUUGUCGUUCGUGGGAGCUUCCUCAAUCAUCCUGCACAGAAAAAAUUCCAUUAAGUUCGAUAGUGUGAUAAAAUUAUAUUGUUUUUACUAUAGAUAUUAGUAAUUAGAAUAACCAUUCAAUAUUCAUACAUAAGUGUUUUACUUAUACUGUGCAAUAAUCGAGACAGAAGCAUUACUGAUCAGGAGAAACUCAACCAGGCAAUUCAAGAACGUAUGAUGAAUUAGGUACAUAAGGACCUAUGAUAGAUUAUUAUUUUUGUGCAAAUAAUAAUAAAACUACCGGCCGAUUAAACCUAAACUCUGCUCUGGAUAACAGUGAGCAAAACCAGUACAUCCCACAGAUAGAUUCUAUGCAUACUAACUUUAGUGUGCUCUUAUGAAAUCUUAUGAUAUUUUCAAAAUAAUCGAUAGAAAUCUAAAAAUACUCAUGUGUAUGACGACUUAUUAAACAGAAUCACAUAUGUAUUCAUACGAUGCCUAAUCGGAAAAUAUGACAAUAUAAUUAAUCAAAAAUGAAGAUAAUUCGAAAUGACAUCCUUCAUACUUGGUCAGUGAUAUUUUGUAUAACGAAAAUGUAAAACCGCCGGACAUGAGUGGGUGAUACCAGCGAAGGUUAUAGCCAGAUUAUGUGGAUACUAAUGAAGAGUCAUUUAUCAUGAAAAGUAAUAGUAGUUGGGAAAGUACCUUAACUUGUCGAUGGCGAUGAUCCAAAUUUUUAGAUAUAUUUAAGUAGAAGUCACCUGAAAAUUAAAUACCAAAUAAUACAUUUUUUUGAGUACUGGUAGAAAUUACCCUCUUUACUAAGUUAUAUUAAAUUUCAUCUAUAAAAAUUAUGGACACUUUUUUAGAAUUCAUUAGGUUUCGUUGUUAUGACUAUCACCUACUUGUAGUUCUUCAGAUUCUGUGAACAAAGUUUCUUUGAGGGGAACCUGACUAGUUCACUGAUGAUUUGAAGAAAAUCAUUCAAAAAUGAAUUUUAAAUAACUCUCCUUUGAGAUUCAUUAUUUAGGCCCAGUGACUGUUUAGCAAAAAAGGAUGAAGGUUAUUAGAACCUAUCUAUGUAUUUUCUAGUUUGUUCAAAAGUUUCCAUAAAAUGUUGAGCGUAAUAUCCUAAUCCUAUAGAUUGUUAUAAAAAGUAGACGCAUUUCCUAAUAUGAAUCGAUGUUUUUUUUUGCAUAUAGUAAACCUAGCAAAUCGUAAUCAUCUUAC
rnacentral:lncRNA from 1 species